rnacentral:lncRNA from 1 species
CAUAUUAUGAGAAAACAUUUUCUUCGGUUUUGGUGGUCCAUGUUUAUUAUCGGAAGCUUUGCUAUUUAAAAAACAUUUAAAACAAUAUCAACAAUGCUUGUCCGGUGUCCAAAUCAAAAUAGAUUUUCAUGUUUAUAAUCAAAGAUUUGUGUACACCAUUUGGCAUGUACUGUUCCACACGUAGAUUUGUACCUGAAAUUUGUUGACUUGCAAAUUGUUUUCCCUUAUUGUAUUAACAAAACAAUACACUGUGUAAAUAUGUUUAUUCUUCAUCUUCGGUGAAUAUCCUAGCGAGAGGGUAAAAAUACACUACCGUAUAGAACCCUCUAAAGAUAAAUAUUUUAGGUAAUUUUUUUAUAAAAGAUACUCUACUAAGAAUAUUCCCGUUAAACAAUUGAUUGUAGUGAAACUGUACUUACUUUUUGAAUCUUUAAUUAAAAAUCCCGUUAUUACAGUUAUUAAUAAAAUUAUUUUCCAAAAUGUCUUAUCAUUUUUUCUUUAACGUUAAAAGUUAUCUAUACAAUAAUUAAAAACCAGUGAAGUCGACCUCAAGAAAUAUUAGAAGCUAUAAGUCACUAAUAAGUCAACAGUGGAAGAUUGGAAAUGAAUGAGAUGAACAAAAUUUUCUUUUGGUGAAGUAGAAUUUCGUCAGGUGGCGUUCGUGUAGGAAUUGUUUAAUUUAUAGGAUAAAGGAUUGAGUUCUUCUUCAUUUUGAGCAUAAAAAUUGAGAGAAACACAAGUGCUAACUAAUCAAUAUCAUUUUUGUCAAAUCUGCUUAAACAAUUCACCGAAAAAAAUGGUUUUCUACAGAAUACUGUUCGAUUUUUUUGGCAAUUUAGUGUUUGUGCUUCAUUGUGAUAUCGCAAUUUCCUCGGCUUUAAAAUGAGUUUGUUCAAGAAAUGUGUUAUUAAUAAAAACUACUCAUUUUUGGACGAUGUCGAAGAUGUUUUAGUGUUUUUUCAUCUGGUAAAAAACAGCUUAGCUUCCAAAACACGUGUCGAAUCCGCAAUGAAUUGUAACAAUAAACAAUUACACAAGUUACGUACUCGCGAAAAGACAAAAAAUAAAAAAGGAAUCAUAUGCCAACUUAUGCCAGAAACAGUACUGUUUCUAAAAGUAAAUUUAAUGAUAAUUACAAUAUAUCUUAAAUUCGUAUCAUUAAUGAAUAUAUAUAGAUAUUACAAUAACAUUGCAACUCUUACUUUUCAAAGACCUGAAAGAAAGGGACUGAAAGCAAAAACAAAUUACAUGCAUAUCUAAAAUGAUUUUAUAUUUACAUAUGUUUUAAAAUGAUAAUAUAAUCCAAACGCCACCAUGCUAAUUAAUCAUAAUUAGUAUGCGUGUGGACAUUCUUUCUUUAGUGUUAAAAUUAGUUCUAAAACAGUUUGUUUUCUGUUUACAGAUGCAUUCAAUUUUUACACGUGUUAGACAAAAUUAUUUUUACGACAAACAUUCUUAAAUCUUCGCUAAAAAUACUCGUUAUUUGACAGCACUGUAGCCGGAGUGCCAAAUUUUUCAAGAUCAAGGAGAAUGCACUAGAAAAGUUCUACAGGAAACUGAAUUUCUAGAGUUUUCUUCCAAAAAUAAUAAGUAUUAAUGUAAACAAUAAUACUAUUUAGAGAAAUUUCCAUUGUAGAAAAUGUAUAUGUGUAGCUACUCAAAUUUAAAAUGCUUUUUCAAUAAUACUAUUUGUGUUAUAAGUGUAAAAACUAAUAAAAUAUUAAAUUUUAAA